AGGGAGGCAGGUGUUUUGUCCGAGCGAGAAGUGCUCCGCCCCAUUGGAUGCUGCCCCAACGUGCCGCGGGGUCGCUCAUCCCCGCAGAGAUCUCUGCGUGACCUCCAAGUCUGCAUUCUUCUCCAGCCGCCCAAACCUUGCUCUCCCAACGACCAGCAUGAAGUUCAACCCCUUCGUGACCUGGGACCGCAGCAAAAAAUCCGCAAACGCCACUUAAACGCCCCCUCGCACGCGCGCAGGAAGAUCAUGUCCUCCCCGCUCUCCUAGGAGCCGCGGCAGAAGUAAAACGUCAGCUCCAUGCCCAUCCGCAAGCACGACGAGGUCCAGGUUCGUCUCCGCGGGCUCUAGGUAUCCAGAUGCGUGUCACUCUCGUGCCGGCUUUGCCUAAGAAAGCCGUGUGUGCCUGCACGUGGGGGAGCCAUGCCCACAGGACCCUGGCCGGUCACCUUGCAGAUGUGUCCACAGUCAUCAGAGUGUGCCUACCCAGCUUAAUGCGGAGCAUUCGGAUACGAGUCUUUAGUGGUCAUGAUUGUUCAGGAAAACAGUACACCAGCCAAGCAAACUUUAACUUUUCGAUUUAAUCCGUGGCUCCAAGUUUGCCAAGCAUUGCUCAGGAUGGCUCUUUGAACCAGAUUCUACAGGGGAAAGUGCUAAGGUGGUUUGAGGACACUCCAAAGGUCAGCAAAUAGUCCAGGUGUCCAGGUGUCCAGAAAAGAGGAGGUCGUGUACAUGGAGCGAGUGCAGCAUGGGAAGGCUAAUGGCACCACUGUUCACGUGGGCCUUUACUCCAGGUAGUUAUCACCAGGCUGAAACUGGACAAAGAUCAGAAACAAAUUCUUGAAUGCAAAGCCAAAUCUCGACAAGUUGGAAAAGAGAAAGGCAAAUAUAAGGAAGAACUUACUGAGAAAAUGCAGGAGUGAAUAUAACCCGUUGUGCAACCAUGGUUUAACUGUGGGUUUUUAGCCUUGUGUGUAUUCCUUUGAAAUUUUUCAAGAUGUCUGUCAGACAUUUCCGUCCUGUUUUGUUUUUGAUAAUGUAGCUUUGUAAAUCUGCUUUUGCUGUUUGGAUUAAUCAUUUUAUGAAUAACCGUUGAAAAUGUCUCCUAAUUCCAAAGGGAAUUUGCAUUGUUUUGUAGAUAAAAUCCAUCAUACAAUCUGUU